CGCCGAGCCAUUGAUGACCGUAUUGAAAAGGCGCAGGCGGCAGCUCGGGGCUGCACUCGGGGCCGGCGGCUGCAGCUCAUUGGCACCUUCCCCCUCCCUUAAUUGCUCCUCAGCCAACUCCAUGUGAGCCCGGCCGGGUACAAAUAGCCCCGCGCCGCGUUUCCCCCCCACACCGCGCACCUCGCCCACGCCGCACCCCCGUUCAGUUGGGCAGUGGCCAGCCCGCCCCGCACCCUCCCGGGCAGCACCUGGGCACCCUCUCCGCACCUAGCUGCACCCCGGAGCCUUUUGUUUGUUGGUCACCCACAGGCACCAUUUCCAAGCCCAGCCCAGGACCGCAGCUUCCCCGAGAGCUUCCUGCCCCCAAGAGAGCCAAGCCGGGGGGAAGCCCUGCGAUCCCUGGACAAAGAAGCUACAAGGAACCCAGGACCGUCCACUCAGCCCCCUGCACCCCCGCCAUGAGCAACCUCAACAAGGAGAGCGAGCACAGUAACAGCAGCAACAACAUCGAGGAGGAGGUACGGACACUCUUUGUCAGUGGCCUUCCUGUGGACAUCAAACCCAGAGAGCUCUAUCUGCUUUUCCGACCGUUCAAGGGCUAUGAAGGGUCACUGAUCAAACUAACUUCAAAACAGCCAGUAGGUUUCGUUACCUUUGAUAGCAGAGCUGGUGCUGAAGCAGCAAAGAAUGCCUUAAACGGCAUCCGCUUUGACCCGGAGAACCCACAGACCUUGCGGUUGGAGUUUGCCAAAGCCAACACCAAGAUGGCAAAAAGCAAGCUGAUGGCCACACCGAACCCCACCAACAUCCACCCUGCCUUGGGCGCACAUUUCAUCGCACGGGACCCAUAUGACCUGGCUGGAGCAGCUCUUAUUCCAGCAUCUCCAGAGGCGUGGGCUCCCUACCCACUGUACACCACAGAGCUAACCCCUGCCAUCCCCCAUGCCGCGUUCACAUACCCAGCUGCUGCUGCCGCCGCUGCUGCUCUUCACGCUCAGUGAACGCCAGCCAUGAUGCCAGCGCAGGCUAGCCCUGAAGCUCAGAGCUGUCCCUGGAGAUGGGACACCCUAGUGAUGCCUAAUUGCUGCUAGUGGAGUGGCUGUCCUACAGCUUCAUUCCUAAGCGUGAUGGCCCCCACAUCUGGAAAGACUGAUGCGCUGGUAUCCUCCCUCCGAAGCUACCCAGCAAGGAUGGAAGUCUCGUCAGUUUUGUUAGUUCUUCAAGUCUCUUGGCUUGUUCCCUUCUUUGUCUCUCCAUGGAGCGAUGUGCCAGGGAUGAAGCAAUGGAUCCAUCAAAAUCAGUUUGGUUUGUGGACACUCCGCAGUAAUGUCACAUUUCUCCUGGUACGGCAUUGUGGGCUUCCCCAUUAGACUGUGCAUAUAUCCAUACCCAGUUCAGUGGACUGCAUUCUGCCUGUCCUCUCCUUCCCUUCCCCGCCUCCCCUCCUAACAGAUUCCCAGACUGAGUUUCUCCUUCCUGUGCCACUGAAGCCUAGAGGGAGGGACUCAAUCCUGGUGGUAACAGACGGGUUUGUCCCUACCAAGACACUGGUGCCAAAUGAGGCCUAGCUGUACAGAGCAAUACUCAGGCUGCCUUGCCCUCAACUUCAUGCAGCUCUGCUGAAGGAAAUGAAAGACAAUCAGUUUUGCAUGUUUUCUGGCAUGAAUUUAAAACACUUAACUUGUGUAUGUGUGAGUGUGUACAUUUGUUCUAGCGUUUGUGUUACUGUAGCAACAGGUCUUGGCCUAACUAUUGAUCCAGCAAGGUUUUUCAUCUUGCUUCUGUGAAGACUUGGCUUUCAAAAAUCCUAUCCUUGUCUCACCCCUCCUGUCCGCCUCCCCCACCCUGCAUUCUCCAGUCUGACCAGAAGAUUUGAAAAAUGUUUGUUUAGAGUACAAUGCACUGGGUUUCUUUUCCUGUCCGGUCUCUUCUCUUGUUUUUAAAGUCAGGGUUCGUUUUUUCCUCAGACUUGGAUAUAGGACAGCUGUAAAAUAUCUUUUUCUCCCUCCUCUCCUCUCUUUCCCCCCCGCCCCGCACAUCUUUCUGAUUGGAGAGAUUCCAGUGUUGCCAAAUCAGCUAUCCUUAUGGGAAUUCAGAACAAAAAGUACGAGUAUUUUUGUACUAUGUGUAAUAAGGAAAUAUUUAUGCAUCAAAGAAUUUGUGUGUUUUUUGUGUGCAAUUAUUGAAGAGAAACUGUAAUCCGGUAAGAUAAGUUAAUGUUUAGUUAAGCUUGAAAGAGAAGUUUUUUCUGUAACAAUGAUUCCGUCAGGCGUAGUAAACAAACUGUGCAAUUUUUGUUUUUUAUUUUAGCAUCUUAUUGCUUGGUAUUGAAGUGCUUAAGUAUUAUAUAAAACCAUGGCUGUUUUGCUUGUAUUAAGACUUCUGAGAAUAAGUUGCUAGAGAAUUGCUGAUCCUAUGAGAAUGUGAAACUGGAUAAUAUAUGAAAUGCAAAAAAUAUACCCAGAGGCUGCUGUGACUCUU